UAUAUAUAUCUGUACAUACACACCUCUCUCUCCAGCACCCUGGCUAGCACACUGAGGAAAAGGUUACAGCAGUUACAUCUGCUAUAAAUCUUCAUGCUAGAUGUCCGAUUUCUAGCUUUUAAGUCUUUUUUUUUUUCUCUUCCACCCCCAUACUUAAUGACAUAGAAUGUAAUGAGUAGUGCGUGCAGAAAGCUGGCGUGGUAACUGUGUGUUACAUACCUGUUGAGGGUGUUCUCCUGCAGAUAGAGCGAAAAAGUGACAGAGAGUGAGAGAGAGAAAGAGAUUGUGAGAAAGAAAUGAAGAGAAAGAGCAAAACAAAGUGUUGUAAAGUUUAAAUUUCCUAAUUGGCCCGAUGGUGUAUGUUCUACUGCACGUUUUGAGAUAGAACAUGUAAACCUUUAGUUAUCAAAUAAAAGUAAGUGUGUGUGUGUGUGUGUGUGUGUGUGUGUGUGUGUGUGUGUGUGUGUGUGUGUGUGUGUAUAAAUGUGAGCAUGCAUGUAUACGUGUUUUUGGCCUUUGGGUCUUCCUGUGAGUCACUCCCAUGAGAUAAACCCAGUAAAGCUGUCCUAGUCCUCUCUAAUUCCUCAUUAGCUCACGGCAGGCUGUCUCAGGGGGAUUUGCACUGCCUGUGGUGUGUGUGUAUGCGUUAGUUCAGGCUCACUAGAUCUGAACGUGAAACACUAUGGGGCUUCUUAGUGGGAGGCUGCGGCAGGCCAGGUGUGUGUUCACUGCCAGGUGUGUGUAUAUGCCAGGUUCAGGAGCAGGGGAUAAGUAUGUCAGCACAACAGUGUGUUAAGUAGCAUUCAAUUUGGGAUUAUGCGCAGAAAGGAAGAGACAGUGCGAGAGAGAGAGAGAGAGAGAGAGAGAGCUCUUUGAAUCAGUGCUUCUUCAGUUUAUCAGUUGAAUUAAUAUACAACCCCAAUACCAAAAAAGUUGGGACGUUGUGUAAAAUGUAAAUAAAAACAGAAUGCAAUGAUUUGCAAAUCUCAUAAACUCACGUUAUUCACAAUAGAACGUCAAAAACAUAUCAAAUGUUUAAUUUGAGUAAAUGUACCAUUUUAAGAUAAAAAAAAAAAAGUAAUGUUGAAUUUGAUGGUCGCAAAAUGUCUCAAAAAAGUUGGGACGGUGCAACAAAAGGCUGGAAAAGUAAGUGUUACUAAAAAGAAACAGCUGGAGGUUAAUUGGAAAUAGGUCAGUAAGAUGAUUGGGUGUAAAAAGAGUAUCUUUUUAUAGAGGCAGAGUCUUUCAGAAGUAAAGAUGGGCAGAGGUUCAUUAACGAAUGUGAAAAACUGCAUCUACAAAUUGUGGAACAAUUUCAGAAUAAUGUUCCUCAAUGUAAAAUUGAGAAAGACUAUGAAUAUCUCAUCAUCUACAAUACCUAAUAUCGUCAAAAGAUUCAGAGAUUCUUGAGAAAUCUCUGUGCACAAGGGACAAGGGUGAAAAUCAGUAUUGCGUUGCCCGUGAUCUUCGGGCCCUCAGGUGGCACUGGAUUAAAAAACAGGCAUGAUUCUGUAAUGGAAAUCAGUGAAAUCAGUGCAGAAACACCUCCAGAACUCAUUGUCUGUGAACACAGUUCGCCGUGCCAUCCACAAAUGCUGCUUAAAGCUCCAUCAUGCAAAGAAGAAGCCAUAUGUGAACAUGAUCCAGAAAUGCCGCCGUCUUCUCUCGGCCAAAGCUCAUUUAAAAUGGACUGGGGAAAAGUGGAAAACUGUUCUGUGAUCAGACGAAUGGAAGUUUUAAAUACUUUUUGAAAAACCAUAGACACUAAACUAAAGAGGACUAAAGAGGAGAGGGACCAUCCGGCUUCUUAUCAGUGCUCAGUUCAAAAGCCUGCGUCUCUGAUGGUAUGGGAGUGCAUUAGUGCCGAUGGAGUUGGCAGCUUGAAUACUGAGAAAUGCACCAUCAAUUCUGAAAGGUAUAUACAGGUUUUAUAGCAACAUCCAGAUGCUUCCAUCCAGAUUCCAUCCCAUCUUUACUUCUGAAAGACUCUGCCUCUCUAAGAUACUCUUUUUAUACCCAAUCAUGUUACUGACCUGUUGCCAGUUAACGUAAUUGGUCGCAAAAUGUUCCUAAUAAAUAAAUAAAUAAAUAAUAAUGAUGAUGAUAAUGAUGAUGAUUAUAACAUCACACUUUAUAUGACACAGUAAAGAUGUAUAAAUAUAUAAGCAGCAGAAUGGAAAUGGCAUCUUUUAUGGUCUGGAAAUAGAUGGUACAUAUCAACUUUGCAGUAAGAAUAAGGCAUACAGUCUUCGAUCAGACGAGCGCAACACAGUUUCAGCGAUGUGUUAUAACAUUGCCCUCCCGCGACCGUCCCCAUGACUGCUCUGCACCUUGAGGCUUUUUAAAUAGGACAAAGGAGAAGGUGAGAGGAGCCACACUUGUGUAGUCUUGCAGCUGUUUAUUUGAUAUUACCCUGUUUAUCUUGGGUGUUAAACUUUGUCAGAGUUUGCUUUUCCUGUUGGUUCUUAGCACAGGGCACCAGAUCUGCCUCAUCAGUGUGACCUUUGUGUUUGACCUGUCUCACAACCUCCGACCACAAACACACUCCAGCCUGAAAGACAGUGUGAAUGGGAUCCUGUUCAGAUCUGAUCUGUGAUCUCUAAACAGAUUUAAAAAAAAAUAAAAAUCUUUGUUGUGUUAUCGAACUUUCUUUAAAUUUCUGCAUAUAAUUGUGUCACAUUGUAGCGUUGUGACUCAUUUCAAAGGCAGUAAAUAACUAACUUUCUCAACACUGCUCAGUAGCUCCUACCAGUGGAAUGAUCUGAUACUGCAGCUGGAAAGCAGGUCAGCUGUAUUAUUCCACAGGAUGAGGCAUGAGAAUUGAAGAGUUUCAUUUAAUAACAAUUACUGUAGAACCAAUAAUACACGAUUGUUAUAUUAUUUUGUGUAGUCUAGAAUACGUUUAUCAGGACAAACCAUAUCAUGCAAGUCUCUUUAUUUAUCUCUAUAACCAUAAGCCAGCAGAUGAAAGCAUGAGGCACACUUUGGACAUGAGGUAAAUAGGAACAUAACAGGAACAGAUUUUCCCUCAUCAGAUGUACCUAGCCUUUGUUUGGAAAAGUGGGCCCUUGUAUGAAAUUGUAGCGCCCCCCCCCCCCCCCCUUCUUUUUUCCAGUUGCUGUCUCUCAUCUUUCGUUUGCUUUGUCAGACCUGUGCCAGUGUUUCCUGAUAGUUGAGUAAUUACUUGUAAGAGAUAGCACUCCUACAGUGCUGUACUCCUAAUCGCACCGGCUGGUCUCCACUGCAGAUCAUUCGGAGGAAUAAACAUGCUAGUUUAACAGCGCCAUAAACACCACUUUCGUCUGUAUCUAUGUGCGUGUGAUGUCCUGCACUAGCCCCCAUUUGUAUGCACAACAAAUGAGUCCAAGCACAGCCAUGUUCAGCUUUUAAAAGAUGACCAACUGUUACAUAGCAGGCUCACAGCUGAUGAUAGGAUGAUCACUGACAAUUUAGUCUGUUUGUUUCUUCUUCUCAGCAUCUCUCUUUUGCAGGGCAAACGCUGCUAGUGAAAUACGUUUGGCAUGCCACAAGUGUUUUGCGCUUCAAGCUACAGUUGCACACACAACUGAAACGUAUAUUGCUUUGAAAGCCUGACAUACAUUUCUGACAGUAAUUGACUGUAAUGUUCAUGUCACACCAGUGCACCCACAGAGACAGUUACUCGUUCCCUGUUACUUGUCUAACAUCCUCUCAUCUCACACAGGCUCCUCAUUGUAAUCCCCAAAACACACACACACACACACACACACACACACACACACACACACACACACACACACACACACACACACACACACACACACACAAUUACACACACACUCCCAACAGUUAGCUAGCCCACUUUUGAACAGACAACCCCCCUCUCCCGGUUGCUUAUGAAGUCUGAAUCAGGGUUCAGUGUCUCAUCCACCAGCGGGGAUCUAAAUAUUCCAUUACAGUAUGUGUUUUCAUGCAAUUGUCCAAAAACAGGACGAAGAGCCGUAAACGAUAUACCAGUAGAGGCAUCAUAUAAUGUAGCAGACCUCCAUACAGUUCUCUGUCUCCUUCUCACUUACAUGUGUUCUCUCUCUCUCUCUCUCUCUCUCUCUCUCUCUCUCUCUCUCUCUCUCGCUCUCUCUCACACCUCACUUACAGACAAUAAUCUCUCAGGACAUCCCUUGAUAUCCCAUAAGAACCCCACCCAGGAGGAAGAGUAACCCGAGAGCCCGUUUCUCAGGCUGUGUGUAUGUGUCUUCAGUGAAACUGUAGUAAUGUGACACUGGCAAGUGAGGAAGCAGCACUGUAAACAGUACACAGUCAUUAACAGUGUGAAACCAGACACUGACAGUGCUGAAGCUGGUCAGUUCCCCAGCAUCAUCAGAGUGCAUUGUCCUCAUUGUCCAUCACUGUUCAGUGUCUGGUCAUGGGGGAGCCCUGCAACCACCCACCCAGACUGUUCACCGUGGGAAGCAGCACAUCAAGAAGAAUUGUGCAUGUUUGGCUCAGGACAUGCUCUCAUCUGCAUCCUCCCUAUCAGUGGCAGCUGUGGGCUUGUUUGUAUACAGAUGCGGCGAGCAGCAAUGUUAAUUACCCUGCAGCUGCACUCCAGGCCUUGGACUGCAGUUUCUCACUGCGCUGUCUUUGUGCCUGGGCGCGGAGCGAGGAAUGUGGGAACGUGUGGUAAUUAAAGUGUUCUGUAACCCAAUUAAGCGUACUGCCCUGCAGCAGCAGCAGCACAGAACCCAGUGAUCAAGCUGUCUGAAAGCCAGUCGCCACUUGUAGCCAUAGCUCUUCAUCCAAAACCAGCAGGUUUUAAAGACUGGUUCAGAAAAAGAUGGUGAGCCAGAGUGGCAAGGAACUCAUCUGACAGCCAAGUCUACAGAGGCAUAUGAUGAUAUGAUGAUAUGUACGCAUAUGUCAACAGAAGAUGAAUAUGUGACAAUGACAUCAGUCACAGCUGUCUAUCACCCUGUCACCACGGAGACAAGCAGUCAAAUGGCAAGACCAGGGUUACCUACUAUAAUCAUCACCCAGAUUUCUCACUAGUGCAAAUGAUGUAUGAUUUUGUUCUCUCCUCUAGUGAGGUCUCUCUACUUGAAAUGAAACCAAAUGUUGGCACAAACAACAGGUUUACUUGUGUAGGUUCCCUUUGUGCAGGACCUCCAGCCAGUUGCUGGGCAGUGCAUUCAAGAAGCCUGAACAAUGACAGUCCACAAUAAAGGUGCUCAAUUAACUGUAUAACCCUGCCGUCAAUUAAGGCAUCAAUUGCUAAAUUGAUUGAUGAGGUUAAAUGAUGCGAUUCAUUUUCUCCAUCUAGCGGAAACACAUUAGAAGCAGCAGUAUGUGAAAUUUAUUUGAUUAAUGCUUUUAGUUAAAGUGAGAAAUGUUGGCUAGAAGAGACACUACACUUUUAUUGAAAGGAUGUAAAAUGUAUUGUUUUUUUACUGAGAACUUCAAUUAAAGCUAAAAUAAACAUG